GAAACUUAGGAUUAAUUUAAACCGAAG
rnacentral:tRNA from 1 species